UACGUAGGGUGCGAGCGUUAAUCGGAAUUACUGGGCGUAAAGUGUGCGCAGGCGACCAUGCAAGUCGAGUGUGAAAGCCCCGGGCUUAACUUGGGAAUUGCGCUCGAAACUACGUGGCUGGAGUGUGGCAGAGGAAGGUGGAAUUCCACGUGUAGCGGUGAAAUGCGUAGAGAUGUGGAGGAACACCAAUGGCGAAGGCAGCCUUCUGGGCCAACACUGACGCUCAUGCACGAAAGCGUGGGGAGCAAACAGG
rnacentral:rRNA from 1 species